rnacentral:rRNA from 1 species
UGCGCAGGCGGGCUUGUAAGCCAGUGGUGAAAUACUGCCGCUCAACGGUAGAACUGCCAUUGAUACUGCAAGUCUUGAAUAUGGUUGAGGUAGGCGGAAUGUGUCGUGUAGCGGUGAAAUGCAUAGAUAUGACACAGAACGCCAAUUGCGAAGGCAGCUUACUGAGCCAUUAUUGACGCUGAGGCACGAAAGCGUGGGGAGCGAACAGGAUUAGAUACCCUGGUAGUCC